rnacentral:rRNA from 1 species
GAUACUAUUUUUUUAGUAUUACGGUACUCCUAUUUUUAUUGUACUGAAGGCAAGUUAUUUUCAUGUCCUACUCAUCUAUAUCGCAACCUACUUUUAUAUAUAUUUUUUUUUAGGAAAAAGUAUGUGUAAAAGAAAAAGCAAUUUAAUACAAUCUGUCUCAGGCGUUGUAAUUUUUUUAUGACGUUUAAAUAGUAUUGACACUAAUGUCGCGAAGGAAAAACGUAAAAUUGUAAUAUAUUUUAUAUUUUUUAAAUAGGCUUUUUUCUUAUUUAUAAGAAAAGCUUGUUUAUACAUAUAGGUUGUUUUAUAUACUUUUUCGUGAAGAAAAGUAUAUAUAUAUAUCUAUAUGUCCUGUACUAUGUAUCACUGAGAUAUAACAGUUGUAUAUUAAAAAAUUGGGUUAUAUGUAUAAAGCAUAUAAUUAAAAUAUUAAGAGUUAUGAAGAAUGCAUACAAUAAUAUUAUAUAUAUAUUAUUGCUUCAUAAUAUCUGAACAACUUUUGUUAGGAAGUGUACAUAUAGAUCUAGCUAGUUGUACCUCACGUUCUCGCUUAGAGGAUUAUUUGAAAGACAGAAAGGCCUUAUACAAUAAUGUUAUAUUUAAUUAUGGCAUUAGCUUUUUAGCACGUAUAAGCUCUUACAUAGGAUAUUUCGGUAUGGACGAUCCUUUGACCACUAGUCGUUUUUGUUUGGUGAACCCACACACUCACGUCAGUUCUUGGUGACCCUGUAUCGAUCUUGUCACUAUGAAUAGAUACAUUGCCUUUUUGUGGCUAUAUAUAUAUAUAUAUAUAUAUAUAUGUAUGUAUGUAUGUAUGUCAACAUAAGAUGUAUCUAUUGAGAGGGACUUUAAGAAAAUAUACAGCCAGAGGAUAAAAA